rnacentral:rRNA from 1 species
UCCUCCCAAAGCGUAACGGAGGAGCACGAAGGUUAGCUAAUCCUGGUCGGACAUCAGGAGGUUAGUGCAAUGGCAUAAGCUAGCUUGACUGCGAGCGUGACGGCGCGAGCAGGUGCGAAAGCAGGUCAUAGUGAUCCGGUGGUUCUGAAUGGAAGGGCCAUCGCUCAACGGAUAAAAGGUACUCCGGGGAUAACAGGCUGAUACCGCCCAAGAGUUCAUAUCGACGGCGGUGUUUGGCACCUCGAUGUCGGCUCAUCACAUCCUGGGGCUGAAGUAGGUCCCAAGGGUAUGGCUGUUCGCCAUUUAAAGUGGUACGCGAGCUGGGUUUAGAACGUCGUGAGACAGUUCGGUCCCUAUCUGCCGUGGGCGCUGGAGAAUUGAGGGGGGCUGCUCCUAGUACGAGAGGACCGGAGUGGACGCAUCACUGGUGUUCGGGUUGUCAUGCCAAUGGCACUGCCCGGUAGCUAAAUGCGGAAGAGAUAAGUGCUGAAAGCAUCUAAGCACGAAACUUGCCCCG